UGCCCAGCCAUGCACGUCCCGGCCUCCCAAUCCCAUCUCCACCGCAGCGCAACGCCACCUCCUGCCCCGCCCUCACCGCGCGCCGCCGGACACACCCCGCCGCCGAGCGCCACCACCGCCUACCCUCCUCCCAUCGGGAUGCCCCCGAUCCAAAAAUCCAUCCACCCAGUCCUCUCCUCGAUUUCCAAAUCGAGCCUAUCGGCAGCCUCCCUGCGCAGCUGUGCCCCCGCGCCUCUGCCUUACCGAGCGCCCGACCCGGCCGUCGUUCGUCGCCAGCACCCGCGGAUCCGGCCGCCCCUCACCUUCCCCACGGGCUGCACCUCCCAGCGCCGCCGCCCCUGCCAAGCUCCGCCGCUGGAGGAUGAAAUUCUGUCAAUGUCCACUGUCUUCAAGUAAUUGAUUCAUGUAAUACAGUAAGUUAUGUCAAUGUAUACUCUGUCUUCAAGUAAUCGAUGUUGCUAGAAUACUUACUGUCGUGUUCACACCUCGAGAUCAUGGCCACCACACGACUCAGGUCAUGGCUUGGUGCCUCAUAUAAACCUGCAUAAAUAUGCCAAAAUUGUACUGCAAGUUGCAUGGGUAGCAGUGGAGAAUCCACACGCUUGCUGUUGUCCCUUGCAGAGGUCCAGGAAUAAAAGUGUAGUGGUUCAGGAAAGACAGAGAGGAGCUGCUCUGUUAUUCAUUUAGUCAAUCUUUUGGCCUAUCUCCUUCUGUAUUAUGAUUUCCAUCUUGAGAAAUAAAAAAGCCAAAACAUGUAAAGUUGUAUGGUUUUUCUAUGUUUGCAAUUUCUUGUUUUGUGGAGAAUUAAAGGAUCGUGUAGGCUUGCCCUUGAAUCCAACUGUUUUUAGUUUCUUAGUGUCCAAGGAAAAUUCUUGAGAUGACGGAAAUGAAUUGUACUCUCAAGAAAAGGUGGAAUACGAAUUGGAUGGAAAGCUAGAGCUACAGCAGGCAGAGCAUAGUGGAGGGUCCGCUUCUACCUCACAUGGCCUCUCCACCGCAUCAUAUAUGUUUUGCGGCUCCGUGGCUUCAUUAAUUGCAGUAAGGCGCUUAUGCCAUCCAUGUAUGAUUUGUGCAGCCAUCAUCUGUAGCAUUGGCUGGAGCCGUCAUCCAAAACAGUUUCACUGAUUCUGAGGUAAGCAACGUGAUUUUUCCAUGUGUUGAUUCAAUCUGGAAAAGUCAAGAUCACAAAUGCUCUUAGGAUUGAUUAAUGAAUUGAAUUGCAGGAGUAUUGGCCGUCCAGACCUUUUUAGGGACCUUCUAGAAUUAAGAUUUGACAUGAAACAAAUUAUUUUCUGCGUUAUACUGUCAUUGCUAACAUUGUUGAUCUCGAGCUGCAUCCUCCAUAAUAGUGACUUCAAAUCUAAGGCUGGCUAGAAGAACAUAUCCCCAUCAGCGCCGUUACCCCUCUGGAAAAUUGUCAUGCUAGCCACCUGACGCUCAGCAUAUCCUCUCCCUCGUGGCAUCCAGCUUUGCUGCAGGGACCAAAAGGUGCUCCAUCACCGGAUUCAUCAUAUUGGAAUCCUCUCUUCGUGUGUGGUUUAGUCAACUUUGUUUUCCUAUAUGGUACAGUUGGGGUCUAGAUCGAAGUCGGCUGAGCUAUUGGGUGGCUCUGAAGAUGUGUUUGUGUUAGAGAUUAGUUUACAUGCAAAGUAAGUUCUUUAAGAAAAGUAUUACUGCGCACCACUCCAAUUUGUUCUUUGAACUGAUAAGAUCUGGUCCAGUAGUACUGCUGCAAAUCUGAGGGAAGACGUUCUGCCUGUUUCUAUUAUCCUGCACAAUAAGCAAUAUGUGUGUCCUCACCAUAGUGAUGGAGCACAUACACUUGAAAUCAUCAGUUCUCUUGUUCCCCAAAAUAAAUGCAUUCGUUCUAACCAUUAGACAUAUAAUUGUACAGAUAGACCAUAUAAAUGGGAUUCUUUCUGUAAAUAGAAAUCAACCUGAUUUGAUUAUGUUUCAUGUCCAUAAUAGUUUUCUCUUGGUGGAAAAAACAUAAACAUGUACAUACAGAUUAUAUUUCUGCUCAUUGCAAGAGGAUAUGAGGAUUUCUACUAUUAUACUGACAGAAUGAUAGCAUCACCUCAAGCAUGUAACCGUGGGAGUUAGUCUUUCACUAAUGAUUUGGUAAGCUGUCCAUACUGCCUCGAGGGGGGAAGUUUUUAUCAUUGCUUUUUGGUUGUGUUUAUGUAAGAGGCAUGGAGGGAGCUGGAACUAAUUUGUGAUUUCUCCUGGCCAUUUUUUCUUCUAAAAAGAGCAAGUUUCCUGGUGAUCAAACAUUGUAGAUCAGAAAUGUUCUUCAUCGAUGCCCAUCCCAAUUGCUAACAAUUCUUUUGCACACUCAGGUUGCCAAAUAUAGUACGAAGGAACUAUAGCAAGUGAAUUGUUGAGUUUGCCAAGCAUAAUGGCACACCUAAUUUUGGCAGAUCAUCUAAAGAGGAUAUCGUGCAAAACUAGUAAUGGCGCACCACGUAACAGGUGCGCCAUUAGUAACCAGGGUUACUAAUGGCGCAUUGUUAGGUGGUGCGCCAUUACAAACUUUCUUUGCACCCUCUGG